UAAGGUGCAUCUAGUGCAGAUAGUGAAGUAGAGUAGAAUCUACUGCCCUAAGUGCUCCUUCUGGC
rnacentral:pre_miRNA from 1 species